GAUAGGAACAUAAAUCAGAUACAAAAUGUAAUAACAACUGUACACCCAACUGUACAGACAAACGUACAUACAAGUCCAAACAUAGGUAGUGGUAUCGACGGAACAACCUCAAAAUAUGCAGCUGAACCACUAUUACCAAAAAUAUAUGACCCAAUACAUACAAAAAUAAUACCAGAAGAAAAAAAAAAAAAACUGCGGCUUGUAGGUACAUAUGCGUAUAUUGCCCCUGAAAUACUCAAAGGUUAUCAAUAUUCAUUUGGAUCAGAUAUUUGGUCUGUUGGAGUUAUUUUUUAUAUACUUAUGACUGGCAUAACUCCACUUCCUAUGUGUUUAAUGACCAAUUACAAAAGUACGCAUAAAAUUUUAAUUAAAAAAGAACAAAAAGGAAUCGAUUUUAAUAUGUUAUCGUUUAAUAGUUACCCUUUAGCUAAAGAUUUGUGUGAACAGUUGUUAAAAUUUGAUAAUACAAAAAGGAUAUCUAACUGUGCCCUUGCAUUUAACCAUCCUUGGUUUCAAGAUUUUAACACCGGUAACAUUGACAAAGUCGACAAAAUCCACAACAGACACAAUAGCGGCUGCAAAAAAACAUACAUAUGUAUAAAAAAUAAUAUAAAUAAAAACAAUCACGACAACACAACAUUAUAUAAUAAUAAUCUAAAUCAAAGUAUUGAUUAUAUAAAUAGUACAGAAAAAAUAGUUACUUUUAAUAAAAAUCAACAAAAAGAAAUCGAAAAAAAAAAAAAAAAAAUUAUAAAAUUCUGCCAGCCAUGUAGUUUUGCAAACUUACCAAUGAGCACUGCAUUAUGUCACAUUGGUAGUGCCAACAUAAGUAAUGCCAACGUUUGUAACGAUCAGACCGAAAAUAAAAACUUUAUUAAUCAUUAUAAUAAUCAAAAAAUAUACAACGGACAGUCUUUACUAACAGGUAAACACCAAACAAAUGAUAAUAAUUCUACCGCUUUGUAUAAUAAGCCUACUUUUACUACUUAUAGUAAUUUCGAUUAUUAUAAUAAUCCAUCUUAUUAUAAUAAAAAAAUAAUUAACCAUCAUCAGUAUAAUGUGAGUUAUAUUAAUAAUCAUAAUUUAGCAGAAUAUGCAGAUACCAAUAUACCAUCAAUAAUAUCACAUGUAUUUAGUCAUUAUAACAACAUCCAUAAAACACAUGCGAAAAACUGCAGUGCAUAUAAUAGCGAAUUUAUUCAUUCGUUAAACAACAGUACACAACAUUUAUGUUUAUCAAAUAGUAUGAGCUACAACAACAGUAUAUAUGGUAACACAUAUGACAACACAUAUGACAACACAUAUGACAACACAUAUGACAACACAUAUGACAACACAUAUGACAACACAUAUGACAACACAUAUGACAACACAUACGACAACACAUACGACAACAUAUAUGACAACACAUAUGACAACACAUAUGACAACACAUAUGACAACACAUACAACAACACAUACGACAACACAUAUGACAACACAUACGACAACAUAUAUGGCAACACAUACGACAACGUAUAUGACAACACACCUUGUAACGUCAAUUAUAACAACGCCAAUGCAACUAAUAAUUAUAUCCAUGAGACUAAUCAUAGUGCUGAUUCGUAUCCUUAUCAUGGCAGUGGAACGAAAAAUAAACAGAUGGUUUUUGUGGAUUAUAUAAAUAUGAACACUUAUAAUAAAGAAUACGAUAUAAAAAACAUUGCAC
rnacentral:lncRNA from 1 species